rnacentral:tRNA from 1 species
GGGCCGCUAGCUCAUCUGGUAGAGCACCUGCCUUUUAAGCAGGUGGUGCUGGGUUCAAGUCCCGGGCGGCUCA